UACGUAGGGUGCGAGCGUUGUCCGGAAUUAUUGGGCGUAAAGGGCUCGUAGGCGGUCUGUCGCGUCGAAAGUGAAAACUCAGGGCUUAACCCUGAGCCUGCUUCCGAUACGGGCAGACUUGAGUACUGCAGGGGAGACUGGAAUUCCUGGUGUAGCGGUGGAAUGCGCAGAUAUCAGGAGGAACACCGGUGGCGAAGGCGGGUCUCUGGGCAGUAACUGACGCUGGAGGAGCGAAAGCGUGGGGAGCGAACAGG
rnacentral:rRNA from 1 species